rfam:Picea glauca, whole genome shotgun sequence.
UAAUGUAAUCCUACAAGAUUAAUGCACCAGAUCCCAUCAAAACUCCAUAGUUAAAUGCACUUGGGCUAGAUUAGUACUGGGAUGGAUGACCUUUCGAGAAGUCCUAGUUUUUUUCAAGCC